rnacentral:lncRNA from 1 species
GGCAGGGACACGGACAGGGCAGGGAUGCGGGGCAAGACAGGGAGGGGGCAGGGAUACGAGGCAGGACAAGGAGGGGGCAGGGACUCAGGGCAGGACAGGGCAGGGGCAGAGGCAGGACAGGGACGGUGCAGCCUCCGCUGCUGCCCUCUCGGGGAGCCUGGCUCCCACCCUCACCCAGCCACUGCUCCUGGGCACAGAGCUGAAGGGGAACUGGAGGCUGCGGCGUUCCUCUCUCCGUCCCCCUCUCUCUGGUGACUCAUGUGAUAACGAACCGACCUUUUGGAGACAUUCUGUGCCCUCAACAAAAGCGGCCCCUGUCUGGAAACCCCCCCGAGGAGACUGACUUCCUCCCCUGCUGCCUGGGCUGCGGUAGCUCUUCCGGCACCUGCUCUUCAGGCACCUGCCCUGUGCUGGCCCCUCCUGCAACAAUCGGGAGCCCUCACCUCAGUCGGCGCUGCAGAACCAGCCCAGGAGAGCAGCUGGCCUGUCAUCUGCUGAGGAGCGGAGGCGUGCGGGGAUCCGGAGGGGAAGGGGGUCUGGAGUGCUCCGGGGGAGACCCUCAGGGACUGCCCUGCUGCUGGCAGCGCCUGGGCCCACGGCUGAUGGAGGCGUCUCCUGGCCCCCAGGGCUGUGCCCAGGACUGCAAUGGCCUCCCACACUACCUCACUACCCUGGUCCAGGCUCACUGACAGAUGAGGAAACUGAGGCAGGGGCCCUGGUCUCACGGCCAUUGGUGCAGAGCUGGGAUCCACGACCAGGUGGGCUCUUUGUUAUUACUUCCUCCAAGGACAAGCCCAGGUUCUCCAGGGUGUGGGGUCCACGUGUGGCCACAGCGGGCCUUAGAGACAGACAGGCCUGGGUAGGGGGAGGGGUGGGUGGGCAAGGCCUUAGAGACAGGCCUGGCGGGGGAGGGGCCGGGCCUGUGCACUGGCAGUGGUGGCACCACGGGCCCUUGGGGACACCAAGUGAGCUCUUUAAAGUGGCUAAAGUGGUAAACCUUGUGUUUUGUAUAGAUUCUACCAAUUAAAAAAAGGAAAUGUGGGCCGGG